AUAUAUAUAUAUAUGUGUGUGUGUGUGUGUAUGUAUACACACACACACACACACACAUAUAUAUAUAUAACAUAU